rnacentral:rRNA from 1 species
GGAUCAGGUAGGGAUACCCGCUGAA